GUGAGUAACGAAGAAUGUGGGUAAUUAGUCGUUAAAACGAGACGAAACGGGAUAUUUAACGACUAACGGGUUAAUAUCUUAAAUAUCUAAGGCUACCCCACCAAAACCACCCCCCAAACCACCCAACACCCCUUUAUCUACCUCACUCACGGCUGAAUUCAGCCAACACACUCCAAUCAUCUUUGCUCUCUCACACACACAACACCCAAAACACCUACUUAUCACGCCAAACACCAUUUUUAGCUUGGACGGAGGUUUCAAGCUCCGAUUUGAGUACCGAGACGAGCACCGAUCAUAUUUUCGAUCACGUAUCUAAGUAGGUCCUUUUGGGAAGUAACGACUUGAGGGAGAGAGUGACGUUACUCAUUGAUACAGAGACACAACGAGGUUGAGCUGAUGUGAUGAUGGUGUUGCAAUGAGCGGAGUCUCCAGGGUUGUUAAUAAAUAGUUAACCUGUCUAGAAUAUGUCUUCAUACAUAUGUCUAGCUACUUUCCGCUGCAAGAUGUUGUUGAUGUUAUAGUAUGUUAUGUCAUACUUUGAGUCUUAAGAGAAUGGUUGCAUAUGAUGUAUAACUUGAUUAAUGAUAUUAAUUAACUUUUAUGCAGUCUUUCAUAGACUGUUUUCAAUUGAGUAUUAAUGAAUAAAAAUGACGAGUUUUAUUAA